GACGAACGCUGGCGGCGUGCCUAAUACAUGCAAGUCGAACGCAGUGGCGAACGGGUGAGUAACGCGUAAUCAACCUGCCCUUCAGAGGGGGACAACAGUUGGAAACGACUGCUCAUACCGCAUACUGAAGGAGGGGAUUGCGUCUGAUUAGCUAGUGGGAGGGGUAACGGCCCACCAAGGCGAUGAUCGGUAGCCGGUCUGAGAGGAUGGACCGCCACAUUGGGACUGAGACACGGCCCAGACUCCUACGGGAGGCAGCAGUGGGGAAUCUUCCGCAAUGGACGAAAGUCUUACGAGGCAACGCCGCGUGAAGGAUGACGGCCUUCGGGUUGUAAAGCUCUGUUAAUCGGGACGCGGUACCGGAAUAGAAAGCCACGGCUAACUACGUGCCAGCAGCCGCGGUAAUUC
rnacentral:rRNA from 1 species